GACGAACGCUGGCGGCGUGCUUAACACAUGCCAGUCGAACGGAAAGGCCCUGCUUUUGUGGGGUGCUCGAGUGGCGAACGGGUGAGUAACACGUGAGUAACCUGCCCUUGACUUUGGGAUAACUUCAGGAAACUGGGGCUAAUACCGGAUAGGAGCUCCUGCUGCAGGGUGGGGGGUGGAAAGUUUCGGCGGGUGGGGAUGGACUCGCGGCUUAUCAGCUUGUUGGUGGGGUAGUGGCUUACCAAGGCUUUGACGGGUAGCCGGCCUGAGAGGGUGACCGGCCACCUUGGGACUGAGAUACGGCCCAGACUCCUACGGGAGGCAGCAGUGGGGAAUAUUGCCCAAUGGGCGGAAGCCUGAUGCAGCAACGCCGCGUGCGGGAUGACGGCCUUCGGGUUGUAAACCGCUUUCGCCUGUGACGACGCGUGAGUGACGGUAAUGGGUAAAGAAGCACCGGCUAACUACGUG
rnacentral:rRNA from 1 species